rnacentral:misc_RNA from 1 species
GAAUUGCGAUAAGUAAUGUGAAUUGCAGAAUUCAGUGAAUCAUCGAAUCUUUGAACGCAUCUUGCGCUCUUUGGUAUUCCGAAGAGCAUGCCUGUUUGAGUGUCAUGAAACUCUCACCUCCAGCCCUUUUUAAUUAGAGGUGCUGGGGCGUGGAUGUGAGUGCUGCUGGUGCCCUGGCUGCAUCGGCUCACUUGAAAAACAUUAGCUGAAUCCACUAAAGUUGGUUCUACUCGACGUGAUAAGAUCUCCGUCGAGGACAGUACUGUAAUGGUGCUGGCCAACGAUAGUGUUGAAUCGCUUCUAAUUAGCGCAGACUUCGAGUGCUGGCAACUUUUGACAACUUGGCCUCAAAUCAGGUAGGACUACCCACUGAACUUAA